rnacentral:rRNA from 1 species
GACGAACGCUGGCGGAGUGCUUAACACAUGCAAGUCGAACGAAGUGGCGAACGGGUGAGUAACGCGUAAUCAACCUGCCCUUCAGAGGGGGACAACAGGUGGAAACGACUGCUAAUACCGCAUACUGAGGGAGGGGAUUGCGUCGGAUUAGAUGGUUGGUGGGGUAAAGGCCUCCCAAGGCGACGAUCAGUAGCGGGUCUGAGAGUAUGAGCCGCCACCCUGGGCCUGGGACACGGCCCAGACUCCUACGGACGGCAGCAGUGGGGAAUUUUGGACAAUGGGCGCAAGCCUGAUCCAGCCAUGCCGCGUGUCUGAAGAAGGCCUUCGGGUUGUAAAGGACUUUUGUCAGGGAAGCGGUACCUGAAGAAUAAGCACCGGCUAACUACGUGCCAGCAGCCGCGGUAAUAC